GAUUCACACUGUCUUUCAGACUAGAGGGACAAAAAUGAUUUCACAGACUCAUCUCAUCUGGCUCCUAGUGCUCUGGAUUCAGGAUGCCACGGGACAGAUUGUGAUGACUCAGACUCCAGAAUCCCUGGCAGUGUCUCCAGGAGACAGGGUUACCAUCAGCUGCAAAGCCAGUUCCAAUGCUAAUAGCAAGAUACACUGGUAUCAACAGAAAUCAGGACAAGCUCCUAAGCUCCUUGUCUACACUGCUUCCACUCACCCCUCUGGGAUCCCAGACCGGUUCAGUGGCAGUGGAUCUGGCACUGACUUCACUUUUACAAUCAACUGGGUAGAAGCUGAUGAUGCUGGAGAUUAUUAUUGUCAACAAGCUCAAAGCUGGCCUCUCACAGUGAUACAGAGCAAUGCAAAAACCUCCCUGCUUUCUUCAGCAUCAGCUCCUCACCGUAACAGCUAUUUCCUAUAG